ACAACAUUUGAACCGUCGGUCUACUGAGCAAUAUCAUCCGCUCGAUGGAAGAUCUUCUUUUCGUCGU
rnacentral:pre_miRNA from 1 species